GACGAACGCUGGCGGCGUGCUUAACACAUGCAAGUCGAACGGAAAGGCCCCUUUGGGGGUGCUCGAGUGGCGAACGGGUGAGUAACACGUGGGUGAUCUGCCCUGCACUUCGGGAUAAGCUUGGGAAACUGGGUCUAAUACCGGAUAGGACUCCGAGAUGCAUGUCUUGGGGUGGAAAGUUUUUAACGGUGUGGGAUGGGCCCGCGGCCUAUCAGCUUGUUGGUGGGGUGAUGGCCUACCAAGGCGACGACGGGUAGCCGGCCUGAGAGGGUGUCCGGCCACACUGGGACUGAGAUACGGCCCAGACUCCUACGGGAGGCAGCAGUGGGGAAUAUUGCACAAUGGGCGCAAGCCUGAUGCAGCGACGCCGCGUGGGGGAUGACGGCCUUCGGGUUGUAAACCUCUUUCACCAUCGACGAAGGCCCGGUUUCGGCUGGGUUGACGGUAGGUGGAGAAGAAGCACCGGCCAACUACGUGCCAGCAGCCGCUGUAACAC
rnacentral:rRNA from 1 species